rnacentral:lncRNA from 1 species
GAGGAAACAAAAAGGGAUAAAAUUUAGCGUCAAGGUUGAAAUCAACGGUACUGAUUAAAUCAGUACAACAAACGACAAAUGGCUUCCAACAAAAGAAAGAAAAAGGAACAACAAGAAUAGCAGACCAAACACUCCUUUCUUCCAUGAUUCUCUGCUGCAGUUGCAAUGUUCCUAUGCAUUUUUGCGCCUCCACUACCCCUGCUAUUGAUACUCUGAUUUUAGGAGAAGAAAGCAAGCACUACACCGUCCUCAUGUUCAAAUUUUGUCACCAAGGACAAUUUCAAAUUUUAGAAGCAUUAUCCCUAUACAAAAAAGAAUAAUUGGUCAGAAAAUGAAGGUAAGGAGUGAAGAGUACUAAACUAAGUUUUCAUAGCAUUCUUGCUACACUUAUCAUCUCCUUUAUUGUGUUCAUUGAAUAUGUUAUUUUUUAGUUUAUCUUUCUUUGUUUUCAAUAAAAAAAGCAUACAAGUGAGAUAUUUACAAAUGUUAUUGAGAGAAAAGGUAGAGACAAAUUUGGAAAAAAAAAUCAUUAAAUAUGUCAAACUCUUUUGAAGUAUUUUUUUUUUGUUUUAUGUCAUGAGUAUGAGAAGUUCCUCUUACUAAAUUGGGAGAGCACUUAGUGUUAAAGUCUAGGUUAGGGAGCUUAGCCGUAACAAACUUGAUUGAAGCUUGAUGUGUUUUUUAGUAAGAUUAGGAAGAAUCCUAAGAAUUGAUAAAUGUAAUUUCUCUAAAAUUAUAGUAAAAAUUUUACUACAUUUAUAAUGGACAUUAGAUGUAGGUCACAUUGUACUAAAUGAAAGUUUAAAAUGUUUAAAAUAAAAGUUUUAACAAACACUACAACAUCUAAGUUUCAAAUGGUUAUGAAGUUAAAAAACAUUAAAAACAGUCUUAGAUUCAUCCCUAUUUUCUAGGACAUUGACAUCUUCCAAGGUGUAUCAUUCUUAGUUUACAUAAACAUGAUAACGCAUAACAAAACUCAAUUUACGAAGUCACAUUAGUUUUAUUUAUUUUUCCCAAUAAUUUUCUUGUGGGAGUCAUUUGUUCAGUUUUGAUAUUAAUUUUCUUGAGAUGUAUUUACCGUCGAGGCAUGGAAGAUGAAACCAGCGAAAAUAUAAAUAUGAUUUCAUUUCACCAUUUCAUUGACUUUACAUAACUAAUGCCGAUACAAAUGCCACGAAAAGGACUUCUUUUACUGAUGUUGCACAAACUACCUAUGAAAAAGUCCCACCAACACAAAAAGCAGAAUCGCAAUCUGCAAAACUGUGGCAUCAGUAACUAAAUCGACGCUCCAAUCAGUUCCUAUUUGCUGUGUCAUUGGCAUUCUGGUCUCUGGUAUCAGAUGAUGAACCCUGGCCGGGAUAGCUUGUUCUCUUCUUCCUGUGAAUAUUCCAGGAAAACUUAUUCUCGUCCACACCACUCUCACUUCCAUGUUUCUGGGAACUUGGUUCUUCAGUUUUCAGCCGCUUAGAAGCAGGAGUCACAAUGAAAUCAUCUGCACUUGAUCUUUCAAUCUUCAUCUUGAGGACACUUCCACUCCUUUGCUCUAACAACCUUUCAUCGGCCACUGUUUUAUUGCUGGCUUGUGCAUGGUUGUCAGAAAGGAGGAUGCCUCUUUUCUUCCCUUUAGCUGAAAGCUUAGAUACAUCUUGUCCAUUCUCCAUAGCCCUCAUCCACUGCAGAUCACUUAAUGUGUCUGCAUACACGACUUCUUUUCUUUUCCGCUUUCCGGUAACACUACCAACAUCAAAAGAUUUGGCCUUAUCAUCCUUAUUUAGAGCAGAGUAUACCCAAUCUGGAACUUCAUGCUCUUCCAUGAGACGAGAUCUAUAAUUCUCCCUUUGUCUCCUCUCUUCAUCCAUUUUCUCAAACAGCCAAAAUUCCUCAUCGGAUCGGGCUGCAAGGCGGUUAAUUUCUCUCUCACUCGGUACAUCUGUCCCAAGUGAGCUUGUACCUCUUCGCAUAAUCUCCUCUAACAUUUCUCUUCUGUCCUGAGCUGCACAAAUAAAUAUUCCACAUUCAAGCAGUUAAUGUAUAGCAAGACCUAUGAAGCACAACACGGGACUGAAACAGUGCCACAGGUUUGUUCCAAACUGAACACAAAUGUGUGUUUCAUAUAUGUGUUUAUAGAAUAUGAAAGAACUAUGAUCCUAAACAAACCUGUUGAAGUUGUAUUGAAAAGUCCUGCUUGGAUAACUUUGGCAUCAAUGCCCAUCUUUUGUUUUGCACGCUCUAAAAUCACCUCUUCAAUUGAUCCCACACUAACUAACACAAAUACUCUGACUUCCUUUUUUUGUCCAAUGCGAUGGGCUCGGUCCUCAGCUUGUUGAUCCAUUUGAGGGUUCCAAUCACUAUCAAAUAUUAUAACAGUAUCUGCUGAUUGUAGGUUCAAACCAAGACCUCCAGCACGGGUGCUCAAGAGAAACAUAAAGUAUGGAGAGUCAGGAGCGUUGAAUUCCCGUAAUAGAGAACCUCUUUCCUCAGUUUUUGUUGAGCC